GCCCCCGGGGUGGGCAGCGUGCAGGAGGCAAGGCCUGGCCUCGUUCUGAGACUCGGAGCCCGUGGGCCCCCAGGAUGCAGAGCGCUGGGCUGGGAGGGAGACUGUGUGAGCACCGCCCUUCCUGAGGCAGGGGCCCUGCCCAGGGGGCCUCGCACUUUCCUGACUUCUGUGGGAAAUGACGGCCUUCUCCCUGCCUGCUCAUGGCCUGCUUUCUGGAAGAACUGAGGGCCCACCACCCAGGUCUGGGCCGGGGUUAGGGGGUGGGGGUCCCCAGGCUCGGGUCCUCAUCCCCCAGGCAGACACCCCCGGUUCCAGGACGCCGACUUCUCUGCGUGCGCUUGGCAAGCUUGGGCUCUGGGAGGGCACGAGAUCCUGUUUUUGGGGAGCCGGGGGCUCCGCCGCAGCCUUGAGGGCAGAGCCCGGCAUCGGCGCCGCGGGCAGGCGGGGAGGAGCCCGGGUGGGAAGGCUUGAAGGCUCGGUGCCCGGUCCCACCCCAGCCCCACCUCUGGUUUCACAGGCGCCGUGCCCCACGCGUGUCUCGUGCUCCUGUCUCCCCUGCGAUGUCGGCUCCCUGGGGAACCCCUGUGGCAGAACCCCUGUGGCGGGUGGUCACCGCCCGGCCCACAGGCAGGGCUUUUAUCCGAUGGUCGGUGUUUUGAGAAGUGGCUCUGGUCAGCCAGAAAGGAGCGUCCCGAGUCAUCGCACCGGCACAGCGACAGGGCUGCAGCGGACGCGGUCAGGAGCACGCCAGGCCGCAGCGGCGAGAACGCACGCUUCCCAGCUCACCAGUGCCAAGAAGGGAAAGGAGGGAACAAAACCGUCGUAAUGUUUUUACAAGGAAGGACGGAUGUGUGGAGUAGAAAAUGAAGAAGAUGUGUUUUUUCAGAUUGUUUGAUGUUAAAGGUUGCAAUUAACUUUGUAACGGCAGGGCAGUGGGAUGUAGUCAACUUUGUUCAGAACAGGAAAAAGCCCAGUGUGAUGGCAAAGCCGAUAAUGGAAGAGUAAGAAAGUCUAUUUCCUGUUCAGCACAAUCAGCGUAGGCGCGAGAGCUGGAGGAAAACACCCUCUAAAGGCGGGACAGUCGUGAUGAGAAUGCCAGGCGGCCAGGGAGCAGAAUUCAUGUUUGAACCCGAAGAACGUCCACGGAGAAAUUGUGAUGGGCAGGAAGUGCCGAGAAGGGGAGCCUACAAGUGGCUGCGAUUACAGGACGGUUAGGAAGUUUCUGAGAACGCUGAAGAAACGCUGGAAGACUGGAGUUUCCACUGCGAUUUCUGUUCAGAAGGAAGAAUUAAAGAUUUCGAGCAAAUCUUUGGGCAGCUGUAGACAUUCUGUCCAUUAUUAAACCGGAUGGCAGACUCAGUCGCACCCCAGGCCUUCUGGUGUGGAAACCGCACUGGGCCAGGAUCCUGUAGGCAUGAGACCGGGCCUCCAGGGCCAGCCCUCUGCCCUGUCCACUUCAGAUCUGCUUUCCUUGUGGAGACCCGGCUGGUCUCCCCCGAGCCCAGCUCCUGGUGUGAUCCCCUCAGUGAGAGCGUGGGCCGGCCCCGGACUCCUCCCGCCCUCAGGACCACGGUCGGGGGCGGCAAGGUGACCUCCAGGGGCCGCCAGCUCCAGCCAGCGAGGAUCCAGGCUCCUCGUGCUACAGCUGCAACCUGAGGCACCCGGAAGGGGUCCUUCUGUACCUGAGCCUCCUGACGAGACCCCUGCUGCCGACAGCCACCGCAGCAGCCUUGGGAGCAAGGGCCCAGCUGAGCCCUGCCCAGACUGCCAGCCCGCAGAAAUGCCACUGAGUGGGUGGUAGCUUGUUAUGCAGACGUGGAAAACUAAUGCAGGUGUAUGAGCCAUGCUGAAUAAACCCCAAAGAACCCCAGUUCCUUAAA